AAACACGUAGUUUUCCAUUCUUUUUAUACAUAGGGACAAUAUUAGAAAUUCACUCGGCAUAUUGACAUUACCGAAUAAACCCUGAUUCAAUCAAUCUUGUGAUUUUGGCCUUUAUAUCAGGUAGAAUUUUAGAAUUACAACAUCACGUGGGCUGCUGAUACGGCCGAUACCCUGGUUUUAUGGGCAACUGAUGUUUGACAAUUGAUCAGUCUAGACCAGGCAUUUCAUGAUACUCCCAAGAAAAGCAAUCUUUAAACUCCCUUAAUAAAUAUACUAACCCACGCUUAUACUCAGGAUCUAAUUUAGUACUAAUAUACGUUGGCCUUGGCUUGCUACAAUCUCCCAGGUCUACCAUCUCUAAUGAAUCGACC
rnacentral:lncRNA from 1 species